rnacentral:rRNA from 1 species
AUUGAACGCUGGCGGCAUGCUUUACACAUGCAAGUCGAACGGUAACAGGGUGCUUGCACCGCUGACGAGUGGCGAACGGGUGAGUAAUGCGUCAGAACGUGCCGAGUAGUGGGGGAUAACGCAGCGAAAGUUGUGCUAAUACCGCAUACGUACUGAGGUAGAAAGUGGGGGACCUUCGGGCCUCACGCUAUUCGAGCGGCCGACGUCUGAUUAGCUAGUAGGUGAGGUAAAGGCUCACCUAGGCGACGAUCAGUAGCGGGUCUGAGAGGAUGAUCCGCCAGACUGGGACUGAGACACGGCCCAGACUCCGACGGGAGGAAGCAGUGGGGAAUUUUGGACAAUGGGCGAAAGCCUGAUCCAGCCAUGCCGCGUGUCUGAAGAAGGCCUUCGGGUUGUAAAGGACUUUUGUCAGGGAGGAAAUCCCUAGUGCUAAUAACACUGGGGGAUGACAGUACCUGAAGAAUAAGCACCGGCUAACUACGUGCCAGCCGCCGCCGUAA